ensembl:lncRNA
AUUAGGCUGUUGGAGGCCAAGGGCGGCUUACAGUUCUCUGCUUUAGUCACUUAAUUCCUGAAUGUUUCGGAGAAACAGGAAACAGAAAAUAGCAGAUGUCAUGUAGGAAAGAGGAUAAACAACAACAAAAAAAAAAGAAAAAAAGCUCACAUCCAAAUUCACAAAACCUAUUUUUUAAACCAAAGCACAUUUUGAAUGCAUAUGGAACCUCAGUGCGCUCAGAAAAAAGAUACUAAUAUAUUUAUCUCAUUGUUUACAUAAACUUUUACAGUUUCAGACCUCAGCAGAUAAAAGGCCAGUCCCAGUGAACCCCACCUUCUGCCGGAGCCCCUUCUGAGUAGGCCCUGGAAUGGCUCACGGGCAGAGGGGCCGCCGUGGGGCCGGGGCAGGCGUGGAGGCCCCUGAGCCCUCCUCCCAGCCCGGGCCUCUCCCAGCCCAGCUGGCACCAAAGAGCUUGGGCCCGUGCUGACCCGCCCCCCCAGGCCUCCUGGCUAGACUGUGGUGGUCCUGCCAGCUAGCACAGCAGGGGUGACUGUCAGUUCUGGCCACAGGACCUGAGCCUGGGCUUGGGCCCUGGGAUGGAGGUGCGCCCCCAUCCCGCUGCUCUGCCUGCAACCCUUGGGUGGGUUGAUGUGAGGGUCCCUCUCAAGCCAAAAAGCCAGGACCUUUGCACAGCUCCAUGGACUCCAGCGGGUCCCCGCCCCCUGGGGACCCCCACCUCCACCCCGGCAGUGGGAGGGGCUCACUGGGCCGGUCCUUACCUACACAGACGGUGCAAACACUCUGAACAGUGUUGUUUUUGUAUCAAUAUGUUUGUGCAGUGAUGAAUGUAUUUAUUUCUCAGACUUGGGGCGAGUGAGCGGUAGACGGCUCCACCACCGCACGCUCCCGCCAGACCGAGCCCACCACCGGGGCUCCUCCAGGAUUGCAAAAAAGGUAAAGAAGAAAAGAUGAACCUUUAAGCAAAUACGAAUCUCAGAGACUUGCAGCAUAGCCAUACACCUCAGCCUGUGAAACGAACAAUCUGGACCCAGACGGACUUUCAGAACCUCACACACCCGUGUGUGUUACUGUUGGUCGCCACUUGGGGGCUCUGGGCUGUCCGCCGCCCCCCGCCCUCACACCCACCCGUCAGUAUUCACUGGACUGGCUGUGUGCAGGAGUGCGAUCGGGGCGGGCUGGCUGGGCAGGCGGACCCCAGCCGCCCUCCCCGCGGCCGUCCUGAGUCAGGGUGAGGCCUGGGCAGCCGGGAGGGCAGGGAUCAGGGCAGAGGCGGCCGCAUCCGUCCCGUCCCCUUGGCUUGUGGGGGCGAAAGCAGAGGCGUCAGGCCUCAGAACAGACCAGGGAUCCCAGCCCUACCGGCCCCCUGCAGGGACCAAGGCCCUCACUAUUCCCCAGAGCCAGGUUGGGCAUCAUUGAACCUGUGAACCCGAUGCCAGGAAAGGGUUGUGGAGCCGGGCCUGACCAGAGCCUCAGUCUGACAUUCCAAAUCGGGGUGGGUGUACGCUGUGGGAAUUGAGGCUGCCUGGGACCCCCUGCCUAGGACCACCCAUCCCCCACCGGGCUUGUCACCCCACUUUAAUUUUCUACCGGGAACCCCUCCCCCUACCUCACCUUGCUAUUUAUUGCUGUAAUUUAUUGACCUCAAAUAUGCUGCAUAACAGACCUCACUCAGGACAGAGAGGAUCCCCAGGGCUCCCCCCCUCCACUUGGCGGGGCCCUGUGGGGCCAGGUGCUGAGGGGAACCUCUCUGUCCCCCACCCAUCACUUGCUUUCCCCCUCCCCCGUUGAGGGACCCCAGGUUGGGCACUGGCCCAUUCACAAAUACCUCGAGGGGGAGGGGAGGGAUGGGGUUAUAGCUGUUUUGUUUAAUGGGAACUGGAAGAGGGAUCAUGUCCUGCUAUACGCGCCCUUCCCCGGAAGGGGGGACCACGAUCGCACUCCUGUACUGGCCACCGCCACUGUCAGUCAUCACACUGAGUUCACUUCCCUCGAGAAUUUGGAUAAAUUCAGGUCAGAGCUGCAGGUAUGCAACCCUCAAGUGUCAUAGUAAAGCAGUUCACCGAUCUCUCCAUUCAGAAGCGUGCAGUCUUAAUGUACAGUGAUGAGAAACUGUUAUUUUAUGAUCUUUUCAUUAAAAGCUUGAUU